rnacentral:rRNA from 1 species
UACGGAGGGAGCGAACGUUGUUCGGAUUCACUGGGCGUAAAGGGCGCGUAGGCGGUCCGCUAAGUUCGGCGUGAAAUCCCCUGGCUCAACUGGGGAACGGCGCUGGAUACUGGUGGACUCGAGUACCGGAGAGGAGAGUGGAAUUCCUGGUGUAGCGGUGAAAUGCGUAGAUAUCAGGAGGAACACCGGUGGCGAAGGCGGCUCUCUGGACGGAUACUGACGCUGAGGCGCGAAAGCGUGGGGAUCAAACAGG